CCACCAGCAAGAAAAUAAUUUCAUAAAUGUUACUUAGGUUUCCAGCAACCGCCUUUUGCAUGAAAUAAUUCUUGUACAUUUAUAUCUGAAAAACAGUAUUGUAAAUAAUGAGCUUGAAUACCUCAGGGACUGGGGAUAUAAAAUCACAACUUCUAAAAUUAAGUAUUGUUUAAAGCUAAGUAUGGUCACAAUAUCUUUUAAUAAGUGUGAGGAUAUCCUAAAAUAAGAAUAAAAAUUUUCACCUCUCUAGUUUUGAAGUGUGACCAAUUGUAUUUAAAACGAAUAUUUGAAGAUUUUUUUUUUUUUUUAUGUGCUGUGACCAUGAAUAGCAAGUUUCAUCCCUGAAAGUUGUAAAAUGACUGAGACAUAAAUCUUGCAAAAGAAAUGUUUAGAAUAAGCAUAAUAAUUCAGAGCUAACUGCAUGGUCAUAAAUAGAUUCUUUAAUGUAUAAUAGGGUCCAAAGUUUCAUAACUCUCACAAUAAAUCUUGUUUCUGUCUGGAGAAAAUGGCAGGCUCAUGCUCAAAUGUGCUUAUUUAGAUUUAUAAUUUCUUUUAGCCUGGUUCAUAAGACUAUUGCCUCAAUAUCAUUAGUGAGUUUUGUAGGCAAUAUAAAUCUUGGAUGGAGUUUUUGCAGAAGGCUAAUAAUUUGUCCUAAAAACUCAAGGUUAUAUUGAACCUCUUUCUCACAUCAUUAAAUUAAUUUUGUUUUUUCUCAAAGUCUAUAAAAUUCUGUCUCACAACAUUCUAGACAUUUCAACCCUGCAUGGAAAAGAGCCAUAUAGAGGGAUUUCACAUUAAGUGACAGUAACAUUAAAACCAAAACAGGAAUAACUAACCAAAACAAAUCAGAGGCUCCAAUUCCAUAUUUAGUAUGUAUCAUCAGUAAAAAUUAAAUGUACUGAUCAGUGAAGCAAUUUGCAGGCAGGAGUUAGGAGUGAGAAAGCCUGGGAUUUCCUGCCAGCUGCAUCACAGAGUUCCUGUCAGAUGCUGGCCUCAUCAUUCAGCUCUUGCAAUGCUGCCAAGCCCCACUAUGCAAAUUAAUUAACCAACUCUUCACUUCACCAGCCACUGAAAUAAAUAAUAAAAAAAAAUUGUUUCUGAAAGUACCUCUUGUUUCUUUGCUUUCUAGGCUGGUGGGAGUCCUCUUUUUCAGGUUCUCACCACUGCCUUCCAGAACUGCACACAUAGCCAAAUUUAUUCCUGAAUAGACCUUAUAUUGUCCCACAAUCUCUUGGCUCCUGGAGCUGGAGUGUUCACAAGAUAUUUAUCAUGAGGUCUGCAGUAGAACUGAGAAUUGGUCUCUGAACUGCUCAGGAGAAAGGUGCAAUUUCUGUGCUGUGCACAAAAUGUGGUAACAUCUAGCUUCGAAUUCUGCUCAACUGUUGGCCAGACAGCUGAUGAGAUUUAUGCAAUUUCUAGAGCCCUUCAUCUGCUCUAUGAAAUGGAAAAUAGCUGUAUUUAUGUAAAUAAUAAAUGAAAUGCCAGGAGGUGGCACUUGAAAAUA